rnacentral:rRNA from 1 species
CCAUACGGGUUGAAGCAUGACCGUAAGGACAUGUGGACAGUAUGGGAGUGAGAAUGUUGGCAUGAGUAGCGAGAUGUGGGUGAGAAUCCCACAGGCCGUAAACCCAAGGUUUCCAGGGGAAGGUUCGUCCGCCCUGGGUUAGUCGGGACCUAAGCUGAGGCCGAAAGGCGUAGGUGAUGGACAACAGGUUGAUAUUCCUGUACUACC